CUGGCUCAGGAUUAACGCUGGCGGCGUGCCUAAUACAUGCAAGUCGGAUGGUAGCAAUACCAUGGCGAACGGGUGAGUAACACGUAGGUAACCUGUCUUAAAGACGAGAAUAACCAUUGGAAACGAUGGAUAAUGCUGGAUAGGAUAAUUUAAGGCAUCUUGAAUUAUUUAAAGAUUUAUCACUUUAAGAGGGGCCUGCGGCGCAUUAGCUAGUUGGGGAGGUAAUAGCUCACCAAGGCGAUGAUGCGUAGCCGGACUGAGAGGUUGAACGGCCACAAUGGAACUGAGAACGGUCCAUACUCCUACGGGAGGCAGCAGUAGGGAAUUUUCGGCAAUGGGCGGAAGCCUGAACCCGAGCAACGCCGCGUGAUUGAAGAAGUAUUUCGGUAUGUAAAGAUCUUUUAUUAGGGAAGAAAAGACAGAUUGACGGUACCUAAUGAAUAAGCUCCGGCUAACUACGUGCCAGCCGCGGC
rnacentral:rRNA from 1 species